GAGUUUGAUCGUGGCUCAGAUUGAACGCUGGCGGCAUGCCUUACACAUGCAAGUCGAACGGCAGCACGGGAGCUUGCUCCUGGUGGCGAGUGGCGAACGGGUGAGUAAUGCAUCGGAACGUAUCCUGGAGUGGGGGAUAACGUGCGAAAGUUACGCUAAUACCGCAUAUUCUGUGAGCAGGAAAGCGGGGGACCUUCGGGCCUCGCGCUCUUGGAGCGGCCGAUGUCGGAUUAGCUAGUUGUGAGGUAAAGGCUCACC
rnacentral:rRNA from 1 species